rnacentral:rRNA from 1 species
UACAGAGACUGCAAGCGUUAUUCGGAUUCACUGGGCGUAAAGGGUGCGCAGGCGGCCGUGUGUGUCAGGUGUGAAAGCCCGGAGCUUAACUCCGGAAUUGCGCCUGAAACUACAUGGCUAGAGCAUUGGAGAGGGUAGCGGAAUUCACGGUGUAGCAGUGAAAUGCGUAGAUAUCGUGAGGAACACCAGAGGCGAAGGCGGCUACCUGGACAAUUGCUGACGCUCAGGCACGAAAGCCAGGGGAGCAAACGGG